CUUGGUCAUUUAGAGGAAGUAAAAGUCGUAACAAGGUUUCCGUAGGUGAACCUGCGGAAGGAUCAUUAUCGUGCAACCGAGGUGCAAGGGCUGUCGCUGACCGUCAAAGGUCGUGCACGCCCGAGCGCUCUCACACAAUCCAUCUCACCUUUGUGCAUCACCGCGUGGGUCCCCUUUGCGGGAGGGCUUGCGUUUUCACAUAAAAACUCGAUACAGUGUAGAAUGUUUCUUUUGCGGUCACACGCAAUCAAUACAACUUUCAACAACGGAUCUCUUGGCUCUCGCAUCGAUGAAGAACGCAGCGAAAUGCGAUACGUAAUGUGAAUUGCAGAAUUCAGUGAAUCAUCGAAUCUUUGAACGCACCUUGCGCCCCUUGGUAUUCCGAGGGGCACACCCGUUUGAGUGUCGUGAAAAUCUCAACCUCCUCGGUUUCUUCUGGACGCCGAAGGAGGCUUGGACUUUGGAGGCCUUUGCUGGCGUCUCUCGCCAGCUCCUCUCAAAUGAAUUAGCGGGGUCCUCUUUGCCGAUCCUCGACGUGUGAUAAGAUGUUUCCAUGUCUUGGUUUCUGGCUCUGUCGCCUUUGGGACCCGCUUCUAACCGUCUCAAGUCGAGACAACGUUUGAGCGUGUCUCCCUUCUCGGGAAACACCCUCGAGCCCACGAACCCUUGACCUCAAAUCGGGUGAGACUACCCGCUGAACUUAAGCAUAUCAAUAAGCGGAGGA
rnacentral:rRNA from 1 species